UACGUAGGGGGCAAGCGUUGUCCGGAUUUAUUGGGCGUAAAGAGCGCGUAGGCGGCCGAGUAAGUCCGACGUGAAAUCUGGAGGCUCAACCUCCAGCGGUCGUUGGAAACUACUCGGCUAGAGUCCGGAAGAGGAGAGUGGAAUUCCUGGUGUAGCGGUGAAAUGCGCAGAUAUCAGGAGGAACACCAAUGGCGAAGGCAGCUCGCUGGGACGUUACUGACGCUGAGACGCGAAAGCGUGGGGAGCAAACAGG
rnacentral:rRNA from 1 species